GCGGUCGUGGUGGAAUAGGCAGACACGCAUGUUUGAGGGGCAUGUCCGAUGAGGGUGGGGGUUCAAGUCCCCCCGACCGCA
rnacentral:tRNA from 1 species